UACGUAGGGGGGCAAGCGUUGUCCGGAAUCAUUGGGCGUAAAGAGCUUGUAGGUGGUUUGUCGCGUCUGCUGUGAAAAUCCCGAGGCUCAACCUCGGACUUGCAGUGGGUACGGGCAGACUAGAGUGUGGUAGGGGGAGACUGGAAUUCCUGGUGUAGCGGUGGAAUGCGCAGAUAUCAGGAGGAACACCGAUGGCGAAGGCAGGUCUCUGGGCCACUACUGACGCUGAGAAGCGAAAGCAUGGGGAGCGAACAGG
rnacentral:rRNA from 1 species